UAGGGAAUAUUGCGCAAUGGACGAAAGUCUGACGCAGCAACGCCGCGUGGGUGAUGAAGCAUUUCGGUGUGUAAAACCCUGUCAGUGGGGAAGAAACGUAUGGAGAGUAACUGCUCCAUGCCUGACGGUACCCACAGAGGAAGUCCCGGCUAACUCCGUGCCAGCAGCCGCGGUAAUACGGGGGGGACGAGCGUUGUUCGGAUUUACUGGGCGUAAAGGGCGCGUAGGCGGGUCUUCAAGUCGGUUGUGAAAACUGCCAGCUUAACUGGCAGCCUGCAUCCGAUACUGUUGAUCUUGAGUACAGGAGAGGAGAGUGGAAUUCCAGGUGUAGCGGUGAAAUGCGUAGAUAUCUGGAAGAACACCAGUAGCGGAAGGCGGCUCUCUGGACUGAUACUGACGCUCAAGCGACGAAGGCGUUAGGGGAGACAAACGAGGAUUAGACUACCGUGGUAGUCCGAAGACGGUAAACGAGUGGGUACUAGGU
rnacentral:rRNA from 1 species